rnacentral:rRNA from 1 species
GACGAACGCUGGCGGCGUGCUUAACACAUGCAAGUCGAACGGAAAGGCCCUGCUUUUGUGGGGUGCUCGAGUGGCGAACGGGUGAGUAACACGUGAGUAACCUGUCCUUGACUUUGGGAUAACUUCAGGAAACUGGGGCUAAUCCCGGAUAGGAGCUCCUGCUGCUUGGUGGGGGUUGGAAAGUUUCGGCGGUUGGGGAUGGACUCGCGGCUUAUCAGCUUGUUGGUGGGGUAGUGGCUUACCAAGGCUUUGACAGGUAGCCGGCCUGAGAGGAUAACCGGCCACAUUGGGACGGAGAUGCGGCCCAGACUCCUACGGGAGGCAGCAGUGGGGAAUAUUACACAAGGGGCGGAAGCCUGGUGCAGUAACGCCGCGUGCGGGAUGACGGCCUGCGGGUUGUAAACCGCUUUCGCCUGUGACGAAGCGAGAGUGACGGUAAUGGGUAAAGAAGCACCGGCUAACUACGUG